rnacentral:rRNA from 1 species
GAUUAACGCUGGCGGCGUGCAUAACACAUGCAAGUCGAACGAUGAAACUCAUUAGAUUUCUUCGGAAUGAAAAUGAAUGGAUUAGUGGCGAACGGGUGAGUAAUGCGUGAGUAACCUGCCUUACACAAGGGGAUAGCCUCUGGAAACGGAGAAUAAUACCCUAUGAAACCAGACAAUCGCAUGAUAAUCUGGUCAAAAUGUUUAGUGGUGUAAGAUGGACUUGCGUCUGAUUAGCUAGUUGGUGAGAUAAAAGCUCACCAAGGCAACGAUCAGUAGCCGGCUUGAGAGAGUGUACGGCCACAUUGGGACUGAGACACGGCCCAGACUCCUACGGGAGGCAGCAGUGGGGAAUUUUGCACAAUGGGGGAAACCCUGAUGCAGCGACGCCGCGUGAUUUAGAAGGCCUUCGGGUUGUAAAAAUCUUUUGUAUAGGAAGAAAAUGACAGUACUAUACGAAUAAGGUCCGGCUAAUUACGUG